CAUGUACCACCAUCCAAGGAGACGAGAAAGAGCUAUCAAUCUGUCAAUCCUGUCUGUGUCCGGGCCGGGUGAGGGGAUUGGAAGAGCAC